rnacentral:rRNA from 1 species
CCUACGGGAGGCUGCAGUAGGGAAUCUUCCACAAUGGACGAAAGUCUGAUGGAGCAACGCCGCGUGUGUGAUGAAGGGUUUCGGCUCGUAAAACACUGUUGUAAGAGAAGAAUGACAUUGAGAGUAACGGUUCAGUGUGUGACGGUAUCUUACCAGAAAGGAACGGCUAAAUACGUGCCAGCAGCCGCGGUAAUACGUAUGUUUCAAGCGUGAACCGGAUUUAUUGGGCGUAAAGCGAGCGCAGACGGUGCUCUAAGACGAAAGGGAAAGCCCAACUCUUAACUGUGGAAGUGGCUUCGAAACAUGAUAACUUGAGUGCAGUAGAGGAGAGUGGAACUCCAUGUGUAGCGGUGAAAUGCGUAGAUAUAUGAAAGAACACCAGUGGCGAAGGCGGCUCUCUGGACUGUAACUGACGUUGAGGCUCGAAAGUGUGGGUAGCAAACAGGAUUAGAUACCCGAGUAGUC